CCUACGGGAGGCAGCAGUGAGGAAUAUUGGUCAAUGGACGAGAGUCUGAACCAGCCAAGUAGCGUGAAGGAUGACUGCCCUAUGGGUUGUAAACUUCUUUUAUAUGGGAAUAAAACAGGGUAUGCAUACCCUCUUGUAUGUACCAUAUGAAUAAGGAUCGGCUAACUCCGUGCCAGCAGCCGCGGUAAUACGGAGGCACCGAGCGUUAUCCGGAUUUAUUGGGUUUAAAGGGAGCGUAGGUGGAGUGUUAAGUCAGGUGGGAAAGUUUGCGGCUCAACCGUAAAAUUGCAGUUGAAACUGGCAGUCUUGAGUACAGUAGAGGUGGGCGGAAUUCGUGGUGGAGCGGGGUAAUGCGUAGAUAGCACGAAGAAC
rnacentral:rRNA from 1 species